ACGCUCGACACCUACGGAGGCAGCAGUGGGGAAUAUUGCACAAUGGGGGAAACCCUGAUGCAGCGACGCCGCGUGAGCGAAGAAGUAUUUCGGUAUGUAAAGCUCUAUCAGCAGGGAAGAAACUGACGGUACCUGACUAAGAAGCACCGGCUAAAUACGUGCCACAGCCGCGGUAAUCUGAGCGGGCUGGCAAGGC
rnacentral:rRNA from 1 species